rnacentral:rRNA from 1 species
GAUUUUGGUCAAACCUCCUUGUCAAUGCCUGUUUUUGUCAUAUCUCAGAAGCUAAGCAGGGCCCGGCUGGUUAGUCCUUGGAUGGGAGACCGCUGGGAAUACAAGGUGCCACAGUGG